AUCGCUUCUCGGCCUUUUGGCUAAGAUCAAGUGUAGUGUCUGAUCUGCUGGGACGGAGGCCGACUGUAGGUCAGACUGUGGUUAUGUUGGUCCAUGUGGUGACCUGGGCAGAGGACUUUAGUAUGAGUUUAGAAUUGAACCACGCAGGGAAUUGUGUAUUAGCGUACAAAAUAAACUCGGAUUUACCACAGACACAAACUGCCAUUAAUUAAAAUGUUAUUGCAUUUUUAUAGUCGAUGUAAAAAUUGC
ensembl:snRNA U2 U2 spliceosomal RNA